UUGUGUUUGAAGUAUGGAAUUUCACGACAAACUAUCUCUGAUGGGAAGACAGAGAACACGUCUGCACCGUACUCUUCCUGUGCCGUUGCUCCACUGACUCCUUCACUACUUCACUUCCUUCACUACCUCAAAAUGCGAGCCUUUCCAUUUUUGGCCUGCAUCAUUGCGCUGGCGGUUGGCAUCCAGUCUCCAUUUGGAGUAGAGAAUAGAUUUCUGCCAUACUCUGAAAACUGUACCAAGAACCUGCUGGAGUUGCUUCUGUGGCAGCAU